AGACUGCUGGGAGAGCGUUCGGUUCGCAUCCGAAAGGUCGAGGGUUCGACUCCCUUCGAGUCCA
rnacentral:tRNA from 1 species